AGUGAACGCUGGCGGUAGGCCUAAUACAUGCAAGUCGAACGGCAGCACAGUAAGAUUUUGCCUUUACGGUUGGCGAGUGGCGGACGGGUGAGGAAUACAUCGGCAUCUUCUAAUUCGUGGAGGAUAUCGUAGGGAAGCUUCUGAUAAUAGCUAAUAUGUUCUACGGCAGAAUGCAGUAGUUCUUCGGACCUUUCGCGUUUGAUUGAGAUGAUGUCGGAUUAGCUAGUUGGCUGGGUAAAGGCUCACCAAGGCAACGAUACGUAGCUGGUCUGAGAGGAUGACCGGCCACACUGGAACUGAGACACGGUCCAGACUCCUACGGGAGGCAGCAGUAGGGAAUAUUGGGCAAUGGGCGCAAGCCUGAUCCAGCCAUACCGCGUGAGCGAAGAAGGCCUUCGGGUUGUAAAGCCCUUUUAUUGGGGAAGAAAAGCUGCGGGAGAAAACCCCGCUGUUCUGACGGUACCCAAAGAGAAAGCACCGGCUAACUACGUG
rnacentral:rRNA from 1 species